rnacentral:rRNA from 1 species
UACGGAGGGUGCAAGCGUUAACGACGUAAUUGACUGGAGCAAGCACGUAGGUGGUUUUCUAAGUCAGCUGUGAAAUCCCCGGGCUCAACCUGGGACUUGCAGUUGAAACUGGAAAGCUAGAGUAGGGUAGAGGGGUGUGGAAUUCCAGGUGUAGCGGUGAAAUGCGUAGAUAUCUGGAGGAACAUCAGUGGCGAAGGCGACACCCUGGACUCAUACUGACACUGAGGUGCGAAAGCGUGGGGAGCAAACAGG